rnacentral:rRNA from 1 species
UUGACGGUAUCUAACCAGAAAGCCACGGCUAACUACGUGCCAGCAGCCGCGGUAAUACGUAGGUGGCAAGCGUUGUCCGGAUUUAUUGGGCGUAAAGCGAGCGCAGGCGGUUUCUUAAGUCUGAUGUGAAAGCCCCCGGCUCAACCGGGGAGGGUCAUUGGAAACUGGGAGACUUGAGUGCAGAAGAGGAGAGUGGAAUUCCAUGUGUAGCGGUGAAAUGCGUAGAUAUAUGGAGGAACACCAGUGGCGAAGGCGACUCUCUGGUCUGUAACUGACGCUGAGGCUCGAAAGCGUGGGGAGCAAACAGGAUUAGAUACCCUGGUAGUCCACGCCGUAAACGAUGAGUGCUAAGUGUUGGAGGGUUUCCGCCCUUCAGUGCUGCAGCUAACGCAUUAAGCACUCCGCCUGGGGAGUACGACCGCAAGGUUGAAACUCAAAGGAAUUGACGGGGGCCCGCACAAGCGGUGGAGCAUGUGGUUUAAUUCGAAGCAACGCGAAGAACCUUACCAGGUCUUGACAUCCUUUGACCACUCUAGAGAUAGAGCUUUCCCUUCGGGGACAAAGUGACAGGUGGUGCAUGGUUGUCGUCAGCUCGUGUCGUGAGAUGUUGGGUUAAGUCCCGCAACGAGCGCAACCCUUAUUGUUAGUUGCCAUCAUUCAGUUGGGCACUCUAGCGAGACUGCCGGUGACAAACCGGAGGAAGGUGGGGAUGACGUCAAAUCAUCAUGCCCCUUAUGACCUGGGCUACACACGUGCUACAAUGGGAAGUACAACGAGUCGCUAGGCCGCGAGGUCAUGCAAAUCUCUUAAAGCUUCUCUCAGUUCGGAUUGUAGGCUGCAACUCGCCUACAUGAAGCCGGAAUCGCUAGUAAUCGCGGAUCAGCACGCCGCGGUGAAUACGUUCCCGGGCCUUGUACACACCGCCCGUCACACCACGAAAGUUUGUAACACCCGAAGUCGGUGAGGUAACCCUUGUGGAGCCAGCCGCCUAAGGUGGGAUAGAUGAUUGGGGUGAAGUCGUAACAAGGUAGCCGUAUCGGAAGGUGCGGCUG